rnacentral:rRNA from 1 species
AUGAGGCAAGGAGGGGGCGGAGGCGACGGGGUGAGCCCCGGCAAUGUCCCGGUGUGCUACUACGGCGCGGGCGGGCGCGUGUCGGCCACCCUGGAGCGGCGGGUGCGCGCCGCCGAGGUGCUCCUGCGGUGCGCGGCGUGCGGCCUCGCCGUGCUGGCCGCCGCCCUCCUCGGCGCCGACCGCCAGUCCCGCACCUUCUUCUCCAUCCAGAAGGUCGCCCGGUACACCGACAUGCAGUCCCUCGUGAUCCUGGUGAUAGCAAGCGGAAUGGUUGCCUGUUACAGCCUGCUGCAGGGCGCGAGGUGCCUGGUGAGCAUUAUCAGGGGUGGCAUCCUUCUCAACAGGCCCUUGGCAUGGGCGAUCUUCUCCUGUGAUCAGGUGAUGGCGUACGUGAUAAUCGGGGCGGUGGCGGUGGCGAUGGAGGCGGCGCUGCUGGGGAAGACCGGGGAGGUGGAGUUCCAGUGGAUGAAGACGUGCGAGCUGUACCAGCGGUUCUGCACGCAGGCGGGGGGCGGCGUCGCGUGCGCCGUCGCCGCCAGCGCCACCAUGGUCGGGGUCGCCCUCGUCUCCGCCUUCAACCUCUUCCGCCUCUACGGCCACGGCAAGGGCAGCAGCAAGUGA